rnacentral:rRNA from 1 species
AAGUCGAGCGCCCCUUCGGGGGAGCGGCAGACGGGUGAGUAACGCGCUGGGAAUCUACCCAUCUCUACGGAAUAACCUGAGGAAACUCGGACUAAUACCGUAUACGCCCUUUUGGGGAAAGAUUUAUCGGAGAUGGAUGAGCCCGCGUUUGAUUAGCUAGUUGGUGGGGUAAAGGCCUACCAAGGCGACGAUCAAUAGCUGGUCUGAGAGGAUGAUCAGCCACAUUGGGACUGAGACACGGCCCAAACUCCUACGGGAGGCAGCAGUGGGGAAUAUUGGACAAUGGGGGCAACCCUGAUCCAGCCAUGCCGCGUGAGUGAUGAAGGCCCUAGGGUUGUAAAGCUCUUUCAACGGUGAAGAUAAUGACGGUAGCCGUAGAAGAAGCCCCGGCUAACUUCGUGCCAGCAGCCGCGGUAAUACGAAGGGGGCUAGCGUUGUUCGGAAUUACUGGGCGUAAAGCGCACGUAGGCGGAUCGUUAAGUGAGGGGUGAAAUCCCGGGGCUCAACCCCGGAACUGCCUUUCAUACUGGCGAUCUGGAGUUCGAGAGAGGUGAGUGGAAUUCCGAGUGUAGAGGUGAAAUUCGUAGAUAUUCGGAGGAACACCAG